AGCGCGCGUAGGCGGUUUUUUAAGUCUGAUGUGAAAGCCCACGGCUCAACCGUGGAGGGUCAUUGGAAACUGAAAAACUUGAGUGCAGAAGAGGAAAGGGGAAUUCCAUGUGUAGCGGUGAAAUGCGCAGAGAUAGGGAGGAACACCAGUGGCGAAGGCGACUUUCUGGUCUGUAACUGACGCUGAUGUGCGAAAGCGUGGGGAUCAAACAGGAUUAGAUACCCUGGUAGUCCA
rnacentral:rRNA from 1 species